CUUGUUUUGCAUUUACGUAGAGUUGCUUUCCUUCCAAAUUAGAAAAAUUUCAAUAAUAAUGAUUUUUCCAUACUUUGAAUGAAUAAAAUUCGACAUCAGUCUUGGUAAGUGUCUAAAUUGUAGCUAUUUAAUUUAGAUUCUUCAAUAAAUAUAAGAAAAAAGAAGACUAUUCAGUGUGUGUGUUUUCUUUUACUAAAGAACAAUUUUUUCCCGUUCUAAACUAAUUGAAGAAAGAUACACUCAAUACGCUGUGCAUAAUAUCAAUUCAUAUUCCAUUUAUUCACUCUAUUGAAGAUCCCAAAAAGUAAAAAGAAAUGACCGAAGGAACGAAAAACGAAGAGAAUAUAGAAAUGCGAUACAUUUGCCACACACGUUUUCUUCGGAAAUCCAAGUGUGCAAAGCAUGAAAUCAGUGUGUAUAUGUAUUCAAAUGCUUAACACAAGCAGAGAGAACAAACAUAUGCGCUGAGACAUCAAAUUCAAAUACAUUUGAGCAUGCCGGUCAACUCAAAUCAUAUUAUACUUAUCACCAACACACACACACGGAUACACACUAUUUUGUGGUAUAUCCUCUAUGAUGUCACUUGCUUUUGUUUAUUUUGAACACUUCAUUCUUGAGCACCGUGCCUUUGCAUCGUGAGUUAAACGCAAUUCAUUGCUGUCAUUCUUUAACCUUUUUGCUGUCGUCUGUAAAAUAAAUUCUUUUCAAAGUUUUCGAUAAAAAUACAAAAAAUUAUAAAACAUCCCGAAAAAAUUAAAUUGAAUUUUUCGUGAUCAUUCACUACGUGGUUUGAAGUCAAUUUUGUGCGCAAAAAAUCUUGACGUUAAUUGGUUGUGAACAUGCCGAUCUAUGUUGAUUAUGGCUAUAGCCAUGGCGACUAUUACGACGAUGAUUCCAGCGAAGACGAUGGAAAUUCUUUCAUCGAUUGUACACAUUGUGAUGCACAGGUGCUAAGACGAAACUAUGGCCGGCAUUUGAAUAACGUUCAUAAAUGUUCUUAUUGCGAUAAUUACAUGCCGAAGAAUGCACUUGAUGCACACAUUCAACGUAAGCAUACCGUCACAUGCAAGUACUGUCCCGCCGAAAUGCUGGUCGAUGAAAUUGAACAACACGAAAGUACACAUUAUACCAAAUGCAAAUUUUGCUCCUGCAACAUCGUUGGUGAUAUCAAUUUACACCAUCGCCAAAGUCAUCCGAUGGAAGCCACGGUCGGCAUGAUUCAACUACAAAAAGUUACCGAUGAUUAUUUCAAUACAUUGAUUGCCCAAAAUCGCAUUUAUUCUAAAAAUGGACAUAUUUUUAUCAAGUACUAGUAAACGAGGGACCCUUCCAUUCAAAAGUACGUGAUCCAUAAAGAAGGCAGCUUUCAUCGAAAAGAUUCAAAUUUGAUUAGUUUUAAAUUUAAAUUAAGUAAUUAAUUCAAACUCAAAUUUUCAUUGAUGUUUUUGGAUAAAAUUUAACCUUCAUCGCAAAAUUCAAUUUAAAAUAUAAGACUUUUUAUAUUAGAUUCAGUUUUGUAAGAGUUUAUUGAUACCUCUCAAUACCUCUUUAGUUGGUAAUACCUAAGUGUAGGAGGUGGCAGUAUAUUAUUGUGGGAAAUUCAAUGAUCAUCAACAAUUCAUAGAAAAAACACACACUGGCGUGUCAUUCGUUUGAAAAUAAGCGUUGAAUAUAUAUGCAUUACACAUUUUACACAACAUAAUAUUCUUCACAACGAAACGAAGAAGAGAAGAAAAAGCAAAAUGACGCCACAGAAAACCAAACAUAAUUUUGCUUCGUUUGCGUUUCUGUGUGAUUUACAUUAAACAUGAUAAGACUGUGUGUCUGCCUGAAUACAAUACUGCCUGUUAGAGUAGUUUUGAUAAAUUUAAGCUUAUAUUUGGAAAAAAACUCAUGCGAAGGAAUUUGAAAUAAAACUUGAAUUACUCGAAAUUCUUUCGUUGUC